rnacentral:rRNA from 1 species
UACGUAGGGCGCAAGCGUUGUCCGGAAUUAUUGGGCGUAAAGAGCGUGUAGGCGGUUCGGUAAGUCGGCUGUGAAAGUCGGGGGCUCAACCCUCGAAUGCCGGUGGAUACUGUCGGGCUAGAGUGCGGAAGAGGCGAGUGGAAUUCCUGGUGUAGCGGUGAAAUGCGCAGAUAUCAGGAGGAACACCUAUUGCGAAGGCAGCUCGCUGGGACGUAACUGACGCUGAGACGCGAAAGCGUGGGGAGCAAACAGG